rnacentral:ncRNA from 1 species
CUGCGGGAGAGCCCUCACCGACCCGGCCAGCCGGGCCACCGAGGCGCCGAAGGAGCAACCCCCCGGGAAACUCUCAGGCACCCGUACCGCAGGCG